rnacentral:rRNA from 1 species
GUCUUCUAGAAUAUAUUUUGAAGUCUGACCUGCUCACUGAUGAAUUUAAAGAGCCGCGGUAUUUUGACCGUGCAAAGGUAGCAUAAUCAUUAGUUUCUUAAUUAGGGGCUGGAAUGAAUGGUUUGACGAAAAAUUAACUGUCUCUUAAUAAUUAAUUGAAUUUAACUUUUGAGUUAAAAGGCUUAAAUUUAUCUUUAGGACGAGAAGACCCUAUAGAGCUUGACAUCUAGUUUUAUAUAUAUUUUUAGUUUAUUUAUUUAUAUAAUUUAAAAUGUUUUGUUGGGGUGACAUGAAGAAUAAAUAAACUCUUCAUUAUUAAAUCAUUAAUUUAUGUUUAAUUGAUCCAUAAUUUAUGAUCAUAAGAUUAAGUUACCUUAGGGAUAACAGCGUAAUUGUUUUUGAGAGCUCAUAUUAACAAAGCAGAUUGCGACCUCGAUGUUGGAUUAAGAUAAAUUUUAGGUGAAGUAGCUUAAAAAUUAGGUCUGUUCGACCUUUAAAUUCUU